GAGGAAUGUCAACUAUUCAACAUGGAGGCGGAGGUCGAUAAGCUGGAACUGAUGUGCUGCCUUCUCCAAGCUGAACCUUGGGGUCACUUCAACAUCAGCACUUGUAGUGAUCCUGGAAGAAACUGAGUACCACACUCACCCCCAUUCCCACCUCCAGAAAAUUUCCAGAAAGCUGACUCUGAUCUGGAUUACAUUCAAUACAGGCUGGAAUAUGAAAUCAAGACUAAUCAUCCUGUUACAGCAGGCAAGAAAAAUCCAGUUACACUCUUAAAGGAAUUGUCAGCAAUAAAGUCUCGAUAUCAAACUUUGCAUGCACGCUUUAAACCAAUUGCUGCAGAGCAGCAAGAGACUAAGAACCGCAUUUGUGCUACUGUCAAUAAGACUAUGACCAUGAUACAAGAGCUACAAAAGCAAACAGACCUGGAGCUGUCACCACUGAGUAAAGAAGAGCAAACUGCGGCAGAACAAUUAAAAUCUUUCAUGUCAGACUUAUGAAGAAAUGGACUUGCAAAAGGGAAUUCUGAUGAAGAAGAGAUCCAUUCCAGAAAGAUUUAGGAAUAUGUCUUGUUAGCACUUGAUGACUAGAGGUGGGAGGAUGGAGAAGAUUUGGUUGUGGUCACUGGAUAAUGAUGCCUUUUAUAAGAGAGGGAACUGUAAGAAGGGCAGAUAUAGGAAUAAAGUUUAGCCAAAAGGAUGGAAUGGGAAUAAAGAGAUUUAAAAAUAAAUAUCACAUGUAAUUAGUCUUAUAAUUUCAAGCAAGGAAGUCACAUAACUCUAUUUUGCACCUAUUUUUGUGUAGUUGGGAUAACAUGAAUGUCCUGGCCUAUCAAGAAAGGAUAUAUGUACUAUCAGAUGUGAAUGAGCAUGCUUUGGAAACUAAAGGAUAGAAAAAAUAUUUGUAUUACAUUAUACAUAUGUAUAUAAUUUUAUUUUUGAAAAUUUUGAGUAUAGAUAAUGGUCACAUUAUUGAUGAGACUGCUAGUAUGUGGCCUCUAGUCCUCCACAGAAGCUAACUUUGGUAAUAAUAAAUGGGCUUUUCUGUGAUAGCCUUACUUUCUUUCCUCUAUUCCUUCUGCCUGCUAAUGUUGAGCAACAUGAACUGUGACUUCAAAUAUUGUUUUAGACUGUCUCUUUUGUAUAUCAACACUACCUUUGUUCUCCUUCAGCCUGUAUUACUGUUAAUUGCUCAUUCUAUAUGGAAGCUAAGAAAGAGAAAUCAGAGGAUCACUGGCAACUGCUGCUUGCCAGUGUGUGUGUUUGUGUGAAUUUCCCUAUUCAUUUUUAAAUAACUCUUAGAUAAUUAUUGGCAAUAAGGUAAUCUAGGGACAGAUGUUAAUCACAGGCUUAUUUAUACUAGCAGUACACACACAUACCUAGCUAAUGGCAGGUAAACAGGAAAAUAAUUCAUGGUGUAUCCAUAAAAUAAGAGGUGAAGCUGCCAAUAACUUAUUACUCUGGGAAAUGCUGAAGUUAUGUUAAAUGGGAAGAGGGGAAGCAGAGAUUUCAGUUUUAUAAUUAAGAUUGGGCU